CGAGCUUGCUCGUUAGUGGCGAACGGCUGAGUGACGCGUAGGUGACCUGCCCCGAAGUGGGGGAUAACUGCCCGAAAGGGUGGCUAAUACCGCAUGUGGCGACGCUUUCAUUGGCGUCAUCAAAGCCGCGAGGCGCUUCGGGAGGGGCCUGCGUCCGAUUAGCUCGUUGGUGGGGUAAUGGCUCACCAAGGCGACGAUCGGUAGGUGGUCUGAGAGGACGAUCACCCAGACUGGGACUGAGACACGGCCCAGACUCCUACGGGAGGCAGCAGUCGGGAAUUUUGCUCAAUGGGCGAAAGCCUGAAGCAGCAACGCCGCGUGAGGGAUGAAGGCCUUCGGGUUGUAAACCUCUUUUUCCAGGGACGAUAAUGACGGUACCUGAAGAAUAAGUCACGGCUAACUACGUGCCAGCAGCCGCGGUAAUACGUAGGUGACAAGCGUUGUCCGGAUUUACUGGGCGUAAAGAGCGCGCAGGCGGUCGUUCAAGUCGAGUGUGAAAGCCCCCGGCUCAACUGGGGAGGGUCAUUCGAUACUGAUCGACUCGAAGGCAGGAGAGGGAAGCGGAAUUCCCGGUGUAGUGGUGAAAUGCGUAGAUAUCGGGAGGAACACCAGUGGCGAAGGCGGCUUCCUGGCCUGUUCUUGACGCUGAGGCGCGAAAGCUAGGGGAGCAAACGGGAUUAGAUACCCCGGUAGUCCUAGCCGUAAACGAUGGACACUAGGUGUUGGUGGUAUCAACCCCACCAGUGCCGAAGCUAACGCAUUAAGUGUCCCGCCUGGGGAGUACGGCCGCAAGGCUAAAACUCAAAGGAAUUGACGGGGCCC
rnacentral:rRNA from 1 species